CCACCCCACUUCUUUAUUCACUGUUCAUUUUCUUUUUACUAAACCCUAUCAUAACAUAUGAAAAUAGUAGAAUCUUCGACAUGAUACAUUGACCGACGUUGACCAAUUAGAGAAAACAAACUCCGUCGUCGUGGUCAACGUGCAAAAUAAACGCCUGAUCCUAUGGUCAGGCGCCCAAUUUAGACGCUUGCUCCGCUGGUCAGGCGCCGGCCUCACCCAGAAUCAGACAUCUAAAUUAGGCACCUAAGCAUAUUAUCAGAUUUUUUUUUUUUUGUAAAAACAUUGUUUAUAUUCACUAGUAGAAAAAGGUCAAUUUGCGUCGCCCCAUUUGCGUCGCACAAACACGGAAACGAUGCAAAUAUACUAUUUGCGUCGCAUGCAACAAUGAAUCGACGCAUAAGACGAACUAUGUGCGUCGUAUCUAAAUAAUGUGCGAUGCAAAUCAUCUAUGUGCGUCGCAUGAAGCCCAUGGUGCGACGCACAUAACAAAGUAAUCUGCGUCGCAUGAAGCCCAUGGUGCGACGCAGAUUACCAACCCAACACAAAGCCCCGUGUUUCAAAUAUAUCCUCAAACCCUAAAAAAAGUUGCAGCGAACAUUACAACCCAGCGCCUCUUUUUCAAAAUCCUCUCUUUCUCUCUCACCUUCACACCCCCUCUCUCUCUCUCUCACCCUCACCCUCACCCUCACCCUCACCCUCACCCCCUCCCUCUCUUCAGCGAAAACACCCAUAAACAUUUUCUUGCUACCCAUUUCUCUUUUUUCUACAAGAAAAACACCCACGAAAACACAAAAACCCCAAAAAAAAUGGCGAAACCCAGGUUGUGUUAUGGAGUAAUUUUGGUUCUUCUCACUUUCUUUGGUCAGCGAAGAAGACGAAUAGAACCAGCGAAAACUCAGUUCUUUUUAAUUUUGUAGAUCUAAUUUCGACUCACAUAACAAAGUAGUCUAAUACUUCUCUCUACUCGAAAAAACUUGAAACAAACGAAAAUUGAAGAAUCAGCGAAAACUCAGUUCAUGCAUCUGAAAACCACCAUGGAUGAUAACUUCUCUCUCCUCGAAAACUCUUUCAUUUUGUAGAUCUAAUUUCUGACGAAGAAGACGAAUAGAACCAACCACCAGUGCGGACUGUUGUCGAUGGAUUACCAGCGAGAGAGAAAAAAUAUGCGGUAUCUGGGUAGUUUUCUCGCCGGCGGAAUUUUUUUUGUUUCAAGUUUUGUUGCCGGCGUCCUCGAAGACGGUAGCGAACUCAAAAUGAAGAUGAAGCGUUUUGUUUUUUGUAAUUUCUGUAACUAUGUCAUUGAACUUUUGUUCCUUUUGUUGAUUUGCUUAUUUUUAUUUUCUGUGUUAGAUCUAGAAUAUGUGCGAACUUUCCGGCGGUUACUGGUUUUUUAUGGUUGUUUGAUGGUGAACUUUUCUUUUUGAAACACAGAAUUUGUGCGUAUUUUGUAUAAUUUGUACAAGUUUCUCAUUUGCGUAAUAUAAUUCUACUUUGUUUGA